rnacentral:rRNA from 1 species
UGGGGAAUUUUGCGCAAUGGGCGAAAGCCUGACGCAGCAACGCCGCGUGUGUGAUGAAGGUCUUCGGAUUGUAAAGCACUUUCGACCGGGACGAAAACCCUGAAGCUAACAUCUUCAGGCUUGACGGUACCGGGAGAAGAAGCACCGGCUAACUCUGUGCCAGCAGCCGCGGUAAUACAGAGGGUGCAAGCGUUGUUCGGAAUUAUUGGGCGUAAAGCGCGUGUAGGCGGCUUUGCAAGUCGGGUGUGAAAGCCCUCAGCUCAACUGAGGAAGUGCGCCCGAAACUGCAGAGCUUGAGUGCCGGAGAGGGUGGCGGAAUUCCCCAAGUAGAGGUGAAAUUCGUAGAUAUGGGGAGGAACACCGGUGGCGAAGGCGGCCACCUGGACGGUAACUGACGCUGAGACGCGAAAGCGUGGGGAGCAAACAG